rnacentral:rRNA from 1 species
GACGAACCGUGCGAACGUUGUUCGGAUUCACUGGGCUUAAAGGGCGCGUAGGCGGACAAUCAAGUCAGGGGUGAAAGCCUCCAGCUCAACUGGAGAAGUGCCUUUGAUACUGACUGUCUCGAGGGAGGUAGGGGCAUGUGGAACUUCCGGUGGAGCGGUGAAAUGCGUAGAGUAUCGUGAAGGAACACCAGAGGCGAAGGCGGUUUCCUGGACAGUUACUGACGCUCAGGCACGAAAGCAUGGGGAGCAAAAGGG